GAUGAAGAACGUAGCGAAAUGCGAUAAGUAAUGUGAAUUGCAGAAUUCAGUGAAUCAUCGAAUCUUUGAACGCACAUUGCGCCUGCUAGUAUUCUGGCGGGCAUGCCUGUCCGAGCGUCAUUUCAACCCUCAAGCCCCCGGGCUUGGUGUUGGGGAUCGGCGAGCCUCCGCGCCCGCCGUCCCCUAAAUCUAGUGGCGGUCUCGCUGUAGCUUCCUCUGCGUAGUAGCACACCUCGCACUGGGAAACAGCGCGGCCACGCCGUUAAACCCCCAACUUCUGAACGUUUGACCUCGGAUCAGGUAGGAAUACCCGCUGAACUUAAGCAUAUCAAUAAGCGGAGGA
rnacentral:misc_RNA from 1 species